rnacentral:rRNA from 1 species
CCCUUAGAUGUUCUGGGCCGCGCGCGUGCUACACUGAGUGGAUCAGCGGGUCAGGUUACGCGAGAGCGUUUCCUAAUCUUCAAAUCCGCUCGUGAUGGGGAUUGACGGUUGCAAUUUUCCGUCAUGAACGAGGAAUACCUUGUAAGCGCGGGUCAUCAUCCCGCGCUGAAUACGUCCCUGCCCUUUGUACACACCGCCCGUCGCUCCUACCGAUUGAGUGGUCCGGUGAGGCUUUGGGAUCUGAGCGGAAAGAGCGUUUCGCUGUUUCUGCUCGGAAAACUCAGUCGAACCUUAUCAUUUAGAGGAAGGAGAAGUCGUAACA